UUUAAGCGUAGCCAUGAGUUUCCGUGUCUAACUUUGAUUAUCAGUCUUAUUUAAAAAAAUCCAUGCUUAAUAUUUUUAUUGUUAUUAGAUGAUAAAACAUGAAUAAUACUUUAUGCGUGACUUACACUUUUUAAUUUUUUUUCAGAAAAAAAUUUAAAUGAAACGGACGAUCAAAAUUGGACACAGAAACUCAUGGUUGCGUUUAAA
rfam:Oryza glaberrima chromosome 4 Oglab04_0317_11, whole genome shotgun sequence.